UACAGAGGGUGCAAGCGUUAAUCGGAAUUACUGGGCGUAAAGCGUGCGUAGGUGGUUCGUUAAGUCUGUCGUGAAAGCCCCGGGCUCAACCUGGGAAUGGCGAUGGAUACUGGCGGGCUAGAGUGCGGUAGAGGAGAGUGGAAUUCCCGGUGUAGCAGUGAAAUGCGUAGAGAUCGGGAGGAACAUCAGUUGCGAAGGCGGCUCUCUGGACCAGCACUGACACUGAGGCACGAAAGCGUGGGGAGCAAACAGG
rnacentral:rRNA from 1 species